AAAAGUAGCUGAAACCUACAAAGCUUCACAAGCCUGCACUUGAGUUUGUGAUUUUUAUGCUAAUAAGAUCUGUGGAAUUUCUUUUUUGAAAUUCACAUUACUUGAUUGGCGUAGUGCACCUUUUUCCAUAUGUGAAGUUUGCUUUUUUAUAUGACUUAACUAUCAUCACAGUACCCACAAGGAGCAUUGCAACGAGCUGGGAGUUCUUGCGGCUGGCUCCUGCGGCUGUCACUGCAAGUCAUGCUCUUCAUUGCGUGAAGCAGCCGAGCACAAGUGUGCACAACAGGAAUUAAGGUGCGGAGAUGAAGAGCUCACUUUUCGUAAUCCGCGGAGUUCACUUCUCCUAAUUCGUGAAGAAAUGUAGCUACACUGGGGGUUCACUCGUGUAUCCUCGACAGUCUAGCGGGCUUCUCGAAGGAGUCCAGCACGCGACCGCACCUCGAAGUCCACCUGCAGCUCCGUGGAUACUCAGGCGGACCGCUGCCAGAUAACUUCACUCACGUCAUGGAAGCAAUAAUGUCUUAGGAGUCCACGGCUUUGGCGAGUCUCUCAUGCCCAGGGAGUUCAAUUCGUCCGAAGACGAAGUUCAGUAUAAGAGAAAUAGCUGCUGGUGCCGAGUGAGGGAGUUAGCUUCUACUUUUUUGUGGAGUUCACUUUGUAUAACAGUAGAAGUAUAGUCUGUAAAGUUCUUUUUCUUGUUUAUUCAUUUCCGUGUAAAUGGUAGUAGUUUCUCGCCAGUAUUCACAGAAAAAAAGAGAAAUAUCCGCUGGUGCCAAGUGAGGGAUUUUGCUUCUA